rnacentral:sRNA from 1 species
AAGAUUGGGGCGCUAACGGUAAAAGAAAUUUAGUUGUGUUGAAAAGGGAGGAAAGAGAACAGUUAAAUAUGAAUACAAAAUAAUUUUGUUUUCGGACAGCAGGGGUAUUAGACGCGAUUGACAAUGUCUGGUUAAUUAAACGUAAUGUUUAUUUAAGCGAUGAAUAUUAGGUGCAAAGUUUUUGAAUUUGAAUGUAAUUGAGGUUUAUUGAUUAGACAUUUUAUUGAAUUGCGUGUUAUUAUAUAAAUGUAAAAACAAGACGACAUGCGCGAACAUGUCGUCAAAGCAAGCCAAACGCUGGCUUCUAAAAUAUUUUUUUAACCAUUCCAACUUGCCAAAGUUAAUGCGGAAUGGUUUUUUUAUUUUCCGCUAUUUGAAAUAAAAAUGACGUUUUAAUAUAUUAUGGGCUAGGUGGUUUGUAAGAAAGGGUUAGUUAUUAAUGUUUUAUGAAUUAAGGAAAUUUGAGUUUAAGGUU